rnacentral:ncRNA from 1 species
CUCUGGUUUGAGAGAAUAAUCAGGGCAAAGGAG